GUGAAGUCCUGGGGGUGUCCCUGUCGCGGUGCGUCCGACGCGCUGCGGCCCGGGGGCUGAGAUACCGUCCGGCUAGGCGGUGACCCAUCGAACCUGAUCCGGAUCAUGCCGGCGCAGGGAAAGGACGGCGCGCCGCGG
rnacentral:ncRNA from 2 species